rnacentral:rRNA from 1 species
AAACCAACCGGGAUUGCCUUAGUAACGGCGAGUGAAGCGGCAAAAGCUCAAAUUUGAAAUCUGGCACCUUCGGUGUCCGAGUUGUAAUUUGAAGAAGCUACUCUGGAGUUAGUCCCUGUCUAUGUUCCUUGGAACAGGACGUCAUAGAGGGUGAGAAUCCCGUCUGGCGGGGGUGCUAAUUCUUUGUAGAGUGCUUUCGACGAGUCGAGUUGUUUGGGAAUGCAGCUCUAAGUGGGUGGUAAAUUCCAUCUAAAGCUAAAUAUUGGCGAGAGACCGAUAGCGAACAAGUACAGUGAUGGAAAGAUGAAAAGAACUUUGAAAAGAGAGUGAAAAAGUGCGUGAAAUUGUUGAAAGGGAAGGGCAUUUGAUCAGACAUGGUGUUUUGCGGCCUAUACCCCUCGUGGGUGUGGUCACCGCAGCUCACUGGGCCAGCAUCAGUUUUGGUGGCAGCAGAAACCCUUAGGAAUGUGACUUCUUCUUCGGAGGAAGUGUUAUAGCCUAAGGUCAUACUGCCAACUGGGACUGAGGACUGCGGCUUCGGCCAAGGAUGCUGGCAUAAUGGUUAAAUGCCGC